rnacentral:lncRNA from 1 species
UACUUUCUUGAAGGUUAUUUGAACAUGUUUUAGGGUUGCAUCUUGAUUUAUCUGUAGUGCUUUUGAACCAUAUCGCUCUGCAUGUUUUCUCGGGCCACACACUCACUGGGAGCACGGCAGGGGGAUGAAAGCGAGACCCUUGGUGAGUUUCUUAACCUCCAAGUUGCCUCUGUUUCCUCAUCGGUGAAGAUGAAGCUAAUCAUGCAAAGGGUGUGGAGGUACCAACAGACAUUAGCUCUGAUGAUGGUGGUUUCUGAGCUGAGGAUGCAGACAUGUGUGUGUCCCCAGGGUGCUCCCUGCCUGAGGGUGGGCUCCACACUCACUCUUCGAAGCAGGCUACAGGGUGCUCCCUGCCUGAGGGUGGGCUCCACACUCACUCUCCGAAGCAGGCUACAGGGUGCUCCCUGCCUGAGGGUGGGUUCCACACUCACUCUCCGAAGCAGGCUACAGGGUGCUCCCUGCCUGAGGGUGGGCUCCACACUCACUCUCCGAAGCAGGCUACAGGGUGCUCCCUGCCUGAGGGUGGGCUCCACACUCACUCUCCGAAGCAGGCUACAGGGUGCUCCCUGCCUGAGGGUGGGCUCCACACUCACUCUCCGAAGCAGGCUGGCAUUCUUGUUAGUUGGCAGAUGAGAACACUUGGCUCAAGGAGCUUAAAUGACACCCAAGGGCACACAGAGCCAGGGCCUGGCUGCAUUGCUGUGGGCACCUCCCACACUGCCCUGUGCACACUUCAGCCUUACAGGCCAAAGCACCAAAGAUCUGCUACUGGGUCCUUUAUCUCAGCAAAGAGCCUACCAUUCCUUCCGUCCGCCGCAUCCUCUGCAGGGUGGCAUUUGUCCACUUCCUUUGGUCCUCCUGCCACUGCCUUGGCCAGGCCAGCAUCGUCUCUCCCCUGGCCCCCAUCACCAUGCUUGCCACUGUGCUGUGCCCCUGCCCAGCCUAGUCACUCCUCACAACACUACGCUGCCUCAGGAGCCAAUCUAGCAUUUAACAUGGCUUAGAUCUGGGCCUCUCAAAUUUAAGCAGGCAACAGAACCACGUGGAGGCUGUUAAAACAGUGCUGGGCUCCAUUCCCAGUACUGGAUUCAGUAGGUCUAGGAUGGGGCCCGAGUUUGCAUUUUAAACAAAUUUCCAGCAGAUGCUGGUACUGCAGGGCCAGGGAGCACACUUUGAGAACCACUGACCUAGGUGCUGGCCUCCCGAAUGAGCUCCUGCCAAGGCCUCUGGGGCUCACCUGAGCCACCUCACCCCUCAGGGAUGGGAAGCCCAAUGAUGCCAGGAUGUUCCGGGGUGGCCAGGGCCGAGCACCAUCGGCCUUACCAGCUGGCACCCAGUAAUUGGCUCAAGAACCACCUAUGGAAGGAGAUGCUGGAGGGCUCGUUACCUGGUUGGUCUUUUAGCUGUGGGACCGGGGGAGUACCUCAAGGGCUGGCUCUGUGUCCAAUUCAUUCCUGGGAAAUGUCAGCCAUUCACCAAAACGUCACUCAGAGAAGAGCCAUCACCCAGCCCCCGCCUGGCAGGGCAGUUCAUAAGCAAGUGGAGACCCCAUGUGUCUACGUGAAUCAAAGGAAAAGGCUGUACGGAGGCACACACCAGGGCUCUGGGGGGUGGGGAUGGAAAAUCCCGGGCAGCAGGGGCACUGGGUCACACCUGGACUUGAGGCUAGAGCUGCUGGUCUUCAAGGGAAGGGACAGGAACUCAGAGCAGGGGGUGAGGGCUGGGGGGCAGGACAGACUGACAGCCUGUCCUGUGUGCCUUGCAUACGCCAGGCCCACUACUGGUCUCUAUGCUAGUUAUCUAAGGAAAACUCAGGAGGUGGCUGCUGUUCUCUCUACAGACAAGGAUGUAGGCUCAAGGAGUGGGUCCAGCUCAGGUCUCCAUAGCCAGGUGGUGUGAAGCCCGGGUGAUGACAAAGUCCUCGGUCCCGGCAGCAAGGGCAUUUCAGGGAGCCACUGGUGACACCCUUACACCCUUCCCACAUCAACACAGAGGAACUGAGGCCAGAGAGGACUUGACAGGACUUGUCUCCACUCCCAGUCAGCCAGGCUUGGAGCUGGCCAGAACCGCCCUCCGCCUAGGCCAGGGUACUGAGUGGCAAGCACCCUUGCUUGCAGGUAGAUGACCUAACCCUGACACCAAGCCAGGAACCCAGGGCUUGGGAAACUACAAAUAAGACCACAGAGACUGAGGCCUCGGUGGGCUUGUAGGUGGAGAGCCCUCCCUCAGGCCAGUGUCUACUGCGCUCAGCUCCGGCCCUCCUCAGGGCAGGGUUUUCAGAGACCAGGUUCCUCCUCUGAAACCUCAGCCUGUGGCUCUCUGUGCCUUCAUCCCCGCAGCUGGCAUGGAAAUAAUGAUCUGACCUCCCAGGGGAGGCGGCCCCACGGGCGUGAUGGUGACACCCUGUGGGGGGCAGCCUGGGUAACAUGCAGAGUGCCGAGGGGUAGGCCUGAGCUCAAAUCUGGCUUCUGCCCUCACCGAGCCAUGUGAUCCCAUCCUGGCUACUCCCAUACCUGAGCUGGAGUUUCUUCAGCAGUAGGACCAGGGUGCCGAGGGGACAACAGAACUCCCUCUGAUGAGGGAUCACCCUGCAGCCUCAAGAGGCUCAAAUGCAGAAAGCAGCCCCUGGUGUCACAGUGUACACAGCCUGGAGGCGGCCCAGCAAAACCUGCGGUCCCUUUCCCACGGACCAGAGGUCUCAGACACAGGACCCUUAGGUUGGACACAGUUCUCAGACAUGUUUUAAAAACAAUCCAUGUUCACAAUCCAUUUUUAAAAACAUUCUGAUUAAUUGCCAACAUUUAAAAAUCCAGGAGAUUUUAUAUAAAGGUCUGGAUUUCUGGUUCAUCUUGAAAAUUGGACAGUCAGGUCAUACCAAGUCCACAUUUCACACAGUGACAAAGAUUGGAGCUGAGCGGCUCCCUGGCCCGCCUCACUCAUUCCAUUUCCCCCCUGAUCCUUGGAAGCAUGUGGGUUUCCAAUGCCUGGAGCUAGACUGAGCACCCACAGGCUGCAGCAGUGCAUGGACCCAUCUUUGCUAAAUUUUCUCUCCCACAGCCAAGACUGCAAGCUGAGCAGGCCAUGGAGCCCAUGAGCCGAGGACCAGGGCUUGGGGUUUUCCCAGGGGACUGAGGCAGCCCUUUGCUGCUUGGUCUCACCGGAGAAAAUGGAGGGAGGGAGGAAGUGAAGAAGGGAGGGAGAAAGCUGGCCCCAUCCUAUAAUGCAUCUGGGGGAGCAAGAAUGUGGCUGAUUUAGCUGGAAGAAGGAAAAAUGUACCAAGACCCGAAAGACAGGGAAUGUCCUCACUGGAGGAAAGUGAAGGAAGAAGGCUCUACAGUUCUUCUCCUGGGUUACAAGAGAAGUUAGCUAGCAGGCAGAGAGGAGCUUUGCCCCCAGAGAAGCCUGCAGUGUAGACUCAGCUCUGCCACUUACUGGUAGUGUGACCUUGGGCAAGUCACUCACCUCCCUGAGCCUCCCUUUAGAGUCUUCAUCUCUAAAAUGGGGAUAAUAAACUUACCUUGCGCAACUGUUGUAAAAAAAAAUUAGGAGAUAAUGGAUGCAGAGCACUCAACACAGGUCUCACAGAGCAGGAAGGGAAUGAAAGGCACCCGUGAGUAAUUCCCCAGGCGCCCCUGCCUGCAGGAGACUCAGGCCUGACCUCCAGGGCACCACCCAUCUAAGGGCAUCUUAUGCCAAGGCCUCCAAUGCCCCAGAUGCCAGUCACCUCUAGGAUGCCUCCCCGGAUGGGAAAGGAAACCCAAGGACGGUUGUGGUCGCUGGGAUCCUGGAUCUGAAGCCCGCGGUCGGGGCUGGCAUCUGCUGAGUCAGGCCUGGGAGAGCUGGCAGGAGGGCCAUUUCUCUCUCCAGCAUGA